GAUCUUGAACUCUUGGGCUCAAGCGAUCCUCCAGCCUUGGCCUCCCAAAGUGCUGGGAUUCCAGGCAUGAGCCACCACACCCAGCCAAAAGUGGAGUUUCUUGUUAUGUAAUUAGCAAAAAAAAAGAUGUUCCUUGUAGCAGCAGAGGCAGCUAUGCAGGUGACCUGCAGGUGAGAGGACAGCCUCUUUCCUCACUAGGUCUCUGUUUCCUGGACCUCAGCAAGACUCUUUAGUUAUGUGAUAAGCCAAAUGGUCAUUCAUUCACUCAUCCAAUCAUUCAUUCAUCCAACUAAUAUUUAUUGAGUGCCUUCAGUGUGCUAGGUAAAGUGUCUGCCUUCAUGGAGUGUACGUUCUAACAAACAAAACAGACCAUAAUGUAUGAACAAAUAGCUAUGUACGCUAAUGUUGGGUAGAAUUAAGUGUUAUGAAGACGUUGGAGCAGAAGAAAGAGUUGGAGUUGAAGACAGCACUGCUUCAAAUCGGGUGAACAAGGAAGGCUUUCUGAGGAAGCUGAAUGUAGCAGAUCCAAGAAGGAAUUGAGAGACAGAGCCAUUGAAUACCCCCGGGUGUUGCAGGGGACGGUGUUCUCAACAGGGGGAGGAGCAAAUGCCAAGGCAUUAAGACGAGGGUGUGUCCAAGAUCCAGUGUCUAGACACUUUUUCUUCCCUAUUUUAAUUGGAUUGAAACCACCUUUGCAAAGAUUGAAACAGUGAGAAAAUUAUGACAGUGAAAGAGAUCUGUUGAUCUAACUAACUCCAUCUUGCCUUUAACCUCAAACUGCCUCUGGUCAUUCCUGGGUUUCGUUCAAGCUAACUUUGGAAGAAAUUUAGUUUAUAAUUUAAAUGAUAAUACCCCUUCCCCAAAACUAAACCACCCUUGUAAAACUAACCAGGUUAGGAGGAUGAGAGGGUUCUGAACUCUGCUAAAAUGCAGGCAUGAAUGACUACCAGCUGCCCUUGCUGCCACCAACAUGGAGACUUUGUACCGUGUCCUGUUCUUAGUCCUCGAAUGUCUCAACCUGAAGCUGAAGAAGCUGCCCUGGCUUCGCUUGCCGUUGGCCAUGACUGUGUACGCUCUGGUGGCGGUGUCUUACCUCCUCAUCGCCGGAGGAAUCAUUUAUGAUGUUAUUGCUGAACCUCCAAGUAUUGGCUCUAUGACUGACGAACAUGGGCGUCAAAGUCUAUUUUACAAAGUAAAUAGAUAAUAUAUUAUGGAAGGACUUAUAUCCAGCUUCCUGUUUACAAUGGAAGGUUUAGGUUUCAUAAUACUGGACCAACUGAAUGCACCAAAUAUCCCAGAAUUCAAUAGAUGUCUUCUUCUAUUCAUUGGAUUCAUCUGUGUCCUAUUGAGUUUUUUCAUGGCUAGAGUAUUCAUGAGAAUGAAACUACCGGGCUAUCUGAUGGGUUAGAGUGACUUCGAGAAGAAAUCAGUGGAUACUGGAUUUGCUCCUGUCAAUGAAGUUUUCAAGGCUGUAUCAAUGCUCUAAUAUGAAAUGUGGAAAAGAAUGAAAAGCAGCAGUAAAAGAAAUAUCUAGUGAAAAAACAGGAAGCGUAUUGAAGCUUGGACUAGAAUUUCUGCUUGAUAUUAAAGAGACAACUUUAUUGCAGUUUUUUUUUUUUUUUUUUCCUGCUGACCUAUUGCUAUGCUAACGAUGUGGAGUGGCAUUUUCUUCGUAGUUUUUCAUUUCUUAAAGAAAAUAUACUCGGUAUCUACAACUACAAUAUCAAAUAAAGUGAUUAUUUUUUACAACCCCUUAACGUUUUUUGGAAAUGACAUUUCUGAUUUUCAGAAAUUAACAUAAAACCAAGAAGCAAGAUUCCAUUAGCUGAGAACUCUGGACAGCUAAUCAGCUUCAUCUAUGGUCCUUUGCCUUUAACUAGAGUACGUGAUGGUAGAUUAUUUCAGAUAUGCAUGUAAGACUGUUUCUUGAACAAUAAUAUGUAUGAAAGGAGCAGAAAUAAAUACUUUUUCUAAUU